rnacentral:misc_RNA from 1 species
AAGUCGUAACAAGGUUUCCGUAGGUGAACCUGCGGAAGGAUCAUUCAACAUAGUAUUCAUCUUUCGAGAUGGAACUGGUUACCUUUCAAGAGGAGUUGUUGCUUUCGAGUGAUGACGUCUUGCUCUUUCGGGAGUCAAGAUAUGAGGCUGAUGAGAAGUUUUUCUAACUUUUUCAGCGCACACAGUCCUUAAUCCUUGACAAAUUAAAGUGAUGUUUGAACAAAGUUUGUUUAACCACUAUUGUUACAAUUCUAUUCUAACUAAAUUUACAAAAUCCUUCGUGGAUUAGUAACCAUAAACAACUUUUGACAACGGAUCUCUUGGUUCUG